UACGAAGGGGGCUAGCGUUGUUCGGAAUUACUGGGCGUAAAGCGCAUGUAGGCGGCUUUCUAAGUCGGGGGUGAAAUCCCAGAGCUCAACUCUGGAACUGCCUUCGAUACUGGAAAGCUCGAGUGUGGAAGAGGUUGGUGGAACUGCAAGUGUAGAGGUGAAAUUCGUAGAUAUCGGAAGGAACACCAGUGGCGAAAGCGGCUUCCUGGUCCAGCACCGACGUUCAGGCACGAAAGCGUGGGGAGCAAACAGG
rnacentral:rRNA from 1 species